rnacentral:rRNA from 1 species
UACGUAGGGGGCUAGCGUUGUCCGGAUUUAUUGGGCGUAAAGAGCGUGUAGGCGGCCCGAUAAGUCCGCUGUGAAAGUCCAGGGCUCAACCCUGGAAUGCCGGUGGAUACUGUCGGGCUCGAAUCCGGAAGAGGUGAGUGGAAUUCCUGGUGUAGCGGUGAAAUGCGCAGAUAUCAGGAGGAACACCGAUGGCGAAGGCAGGUCUCUGGGCCACUACUGACGCUGAGAAGCGAAAGCAUGGGGAGCGAACAGG